GGCAUGAGCUUUUAAUCCUGGGCCACAACAGGCCCUGACACUUCCUCUGUUGCUCUCUUGAAACCUUUACAAAAGGAAGCCUACCUAGCCAGCAUCCAACACUGACUGCCAGACAUGUAAGUGAGACCAUCUUGGAUUUCCCCGCCCAGAUGACCAUCUGGCUGAAAAAGUGAAAUCAAGUGAAGCCAGAAGAGGAGCUGCCCAGCAACCCACAGAAUGGCCUCCAAAGAAGUCUACAAAUUCCAUCAGUCAGUAAUGGCUUGGAGUUCCAAAGCUUAUGACUCAAAGGAUACGUGGCUUCUGAUGGCCCUGCUGGGGAGACCAUGUGGAGAGAUGGCAUAGAGCCAGGGAUUCACGUUCCAGGAGCCCUGACUGUCUCAGCUCAGGGAAUCGAAUCUCCUUGUGCUCCAGACCCUAUGAGAGGACGCCAUCCCCUGCUACCGUCUGACUGCAACCUCGGGAGACACCCCAAGCCACAACUGAGCAGCCAAGCCACUCUCAUAUUCUUGCCCCAUAGACAAUGGGGAGAUAAAAACCUGACUGUUGUCAAUUUUAGUCAGUACAUUUUAGGGCAAUUUGAUGCCCUAGCAAUAGACUAGUAUAUUUAUCCAUUGCUGCGUCUUCUUCUGCUUAGAUUAUGAUGUAUGUUUUUUAGCUCCAACUAGUAUCUAAACUUGUCAUGG
rnacentral:lncRNA from 1 species